rnacentral:rRNA from 1 species
UACGAAGGGGGCUAGCGUUGCUCGGAAUCACUGGGCGUAAAGGGUGCGUAGGCGGGUCUUUAAGUCAGGGGUGAAAUCCUGGAGCUCAACUCCAGAACUGCCUUUGAUACUGAAGAUCUUGAGUUCGGGAGAGGUGAGUGGAACUGCGAGUGUAGAGGUGAAAUUCGUAGAUAUUCGCAAGAACACCAGUGGCGAAGGCGGCUCACUGGGCCGAUACUGACGCUGAGACGCGAAAGCGUGGGGAGCAAACAGG